AUGCUUGCUUUGGCACUACAUAUACUAAAAUCGGAACGAUACACAGAUUAAGAUGGUCCUUGCUCAAAGAUGACAAGAGAACAUAAUUUAA
rnacentral:snRNA from 1 species